UACAUUUCAAACAUAUUAUAACGCUAAUAUAAUAUUUGUAAUAUAUAUAUAUGUUUGAAAUCCGAAAUAAACAAAUAAAAAAUGUAUUAACAAUUUUUUUUUAAAAAAAAACACUAGGAAUAGGAAUUAAAAGAAACAAAAAAGGCACUAGAUAAGGGAAUUAAUCUUUUAAAGAAUAUGGGACACCUCAUUAAUUGAUAGAGAUUUUAUUUGUAAAUAAUAUGGGAUGAUUGAAAGACUCAUUUAUUACGCGUGAAUUAAGGGAUUAUAAAUUAGUUCCAUUUGUUUAUCCUUUAUAAGCAGAAUACUUAGCAAUUAAUAAGGUUAUGCUAAUAUGGCAAUAAACAUUUGAUUAUAAUUGACAUAAUCAUACUUUGGCUAAAAAUCAAGAAAAUAUAUUUUAAUAUUAUAUAUUUGCGUAAUCUUCUCAGAAAAAAACAUAUGUACUGAAACAUAUAUUUAGUAGUUAUUUGUCUUUGCAUUAUAAAUUAGGCAUUGUAAUCCCUGCAUAACUUAAAAUGUGAGCUAAACGACCCUAAGUUUUUUAUCCGAUAACAGUAAGAAGAGAUUUCAAGAUAAAUGAAGCGUAAAAAAUGUCUACAUUGAGUUGAACUGACAACAUGACCACGAAGGCUGUGAUGGUAUAUAUGAAUUGAAUUUCUCCACGUUUAACCAGUUAUCUCGAGAUUAAAUCUUAAAAACAUAAAAAAAAUAAUUAUAAUAGGAAAUGCUUUUCACGAUGAUAGAGCUUACGUGAAGUAAAUUUAAAUUAAUCAGGACACCAUAGACAGAUAAUCGUAGUCCAACACAGAUGAUCAUAUUCCAAGUGGAAAACAAAAGAAUAGACAACAUGGUGGUUGGAUCAAAUAAAAGCCACCCAUGAAAAUAGAAUGGGAAAUCCUUAGCCGUUUUCACAAGGCAAGAUAAAGAAUUUUAUAUUUUGUUGUCCAAUCAAGAUACUGUUUUGAUGCCUACUAGUAUAUAAGUAAUAAAUUGGAUUCUUGCAUUUUACGAAAAAGAAUUUGUGACCGUUACAUUAUUGUUGCUUCUUCAUCGCUAUUUCACAUUCAAAAGUCUUAUACUAAAUAAUGCUGGAAAUAGACUGCUGGUAGUUGGCAUCAGCUCAAUCACCAUUAUGGUGACUCCAUGAUGUGGCUUAUUUUUUUAUUUUUUUAAUACACAACUAUAUAACUAAACUUUUAAAUUUUGUUUAAUUUGAAAAAAAAAAAACUAUUUGGAGUAUUUUUUUGAAAAAAGAAAUCUUUUUGUUAGAAUUAUUCAAAGGAAUACUUUUAUUAGAGUGGCUAAUCAAUUUUUUCAAAAAUGCUUUUGUUAAUUUUAAGGCCCGAGCUUAGUCAAGCUUUCAAAAAAGGUUCAUCAAAAGAAGAUAUUUUUUUCAGUUUCAAAAAAAAAAAAAAAAAAACUACUAGCUACCACUUUUUUCCCCUAAAAAUUUGGUUAAGCACCUUGACUCUUUAAAAUUAAAAUCUUUUUAUUGAAGAUAGAAUUACAUAGCUGUGCAAGGAUCAUUAUGUAAUUUGUAUUAGGAUGUUUGUCAGAAGAUAUUUUAUUUAGUAAGUUGGUUACAACUAUCAAGCUAGGUAGAUAGAGUGAGUUAGUUGGCUGAUAAUAGAAGGUGUAUAUAUAUACACGUACUUUUAGAUGUAAAAAUCAGUUUUCUCAUUAACGUAUCAAAAAAUUUUCACUCCAGUUAUCCAUUUCUGCUAACUAGGUAACUCUCUUGUGAUCUCAUAUAUAGCCUAUCAAUGGUGAAAUCUAACAUGGUCUCAGAGCCCAACGAUCACUUAUAGUGAUUCAUUGAUUUUGUUUCCUUUUCACAAGCUACAACAUUGAGAGCUUUAUCAAUGGCGGUUGACAACACUUUUCCUGAAAAUCUAGGUCGCAAUCAUCCUCUGUUUUUUAGUCCAAGUGAUAAUUCUGGUGUUGUUUUGAUCUCUCUACAAUUCAUUGGAUCUGAGAACCACUCUGUGUGGAGUCGUGCGAUGCGAAUUACAAUUCUAGGUCAAAACAAAAUUGGAUUCAUUGAUGGCACAUACAAAAAGAAAAACUACGGUUCGAAUUUAGCAGCUCUUUGGAAAAGGUGCAACAUAAUUGUUCUCUCAUGAAUAAUGAACGGUGUUUCCAAGGAACUCCUAAGAGGCAUUGUUUACUCAUCCUAUACUACUGUUGUGUGGAAUGAUCUCAAGGAAAGCUUUGAUAAAAUUGAAGGUUCUCACAUUUUACAACUGCACAAAGAAAUCACAACUAUUCAUCAAGUGGACAGGUGAAGGGGAUUGGUAAAAAGCACAAAGGGCUCUACCUUCUCCCAAUUUAAACUCUCAACAGAGACAAAAUAGAGCUUAUAAUUCCUUUUGUGACUAUUGCAAGAUGAGGGGUCACACAAGAGAUGUGUGUUAUAAAUUUAUCGGUUAUCCUAAUGACUCAAAGUUUAAGAAGAAAGGUAAAAAUAUGAAUCAUUCAAGAAACUCUCAAUGAAACUUUCAUACUACUCACAAUGCAGUCACACACUCUUCUUCCUAUAUUCCUUAUUACCACAGAGUUGACACUUAGGAUCAAUUUGAGAGUAAUGGAACAAAUUCCAAGCUUGAUAAAGGAAAAUAGACUUCUAGGUUUGGUGGCAAACUUGAAAGAGGUGAAUGUAGUUCUAGCACUGAUUCUAAAAGAGGUGACAGUAUUUUAGCUGACUAUGAGAAAGAUGCCUCAUAUGGUUUAGGUGCAUGUGAAAGAUUUACUAAAGAACAGUACAAUCAAAUUCUACAUCUUCUUCACAAAGAUACAAAACUAUCAGACUUAACACCAAAGAUGAAUUCUGUAGGUAAUUUUGCUACUGCUCUUGUGGUUGAUCAUAGCUCACUUGAGUGGAUUGUGGACACUAGUUCCACAAACCAUAUGACACCUUACUCUUAUAUACUUACCAACCAGUAGAACAUUGCAUCUUCACGAAGAAAGGUUCAAUUGACUAAUGGUACUUCUAUUGAUUCCACACAUACUGGAUUUUAAUUUGUUUCAUUUCUUCAGAUGCUACGCUUCAUAAUGUUCUACUUAUCCCUGACUUUAAAUUUAACCUUUUGUUAGUUUAUCAACUAACUAAAGCAUUACAUUGUUGGAUAUAAUUCAAUCCUGAUUUUUUUAAUUUACAUGACCUCUACAGUGGACAGGUGAAGGGGAUUGAUAAAAAGCACAAAGGCCUCUCUACCUUCUCCCAGUUUAAAUUCUCAAUAGAGGCCCUUCCACUAUAUCAAAGUUUUUUCAUGUCUGGAAUAUUGUUCAUCCUACUUCAGUCCCACUCACACUUUGGCUCCAAAUACUUUAUCACACUUCCACUUCUGUGUUGUCUCAUCUAUUUUCUAUUUCUUCUAAAUCUUGCACUCAAGAUAUUCAUAAUUGUACUGUAUGUCCACUAGCUAAUUAAUCUAGACUUUCAUUUCCUUUUAGUACUUCUAAAUCUGCUUGUCCAUUUCUACUUCUUCAUGUUGAUGUUUGGGGUCCAAAUAGAAUUUCAACCCAUGAUGGUAAUAGAUUUUUUGUCACUAUGGUUGAUGACUAUUCUAGAAUGUUGUGGCUAUUUCUAAUCAAAUUCAAAAGUUAUGUUAUUAUUGUUUUUCAAGAUUUUCUUACCUUGAUCAAAACUCAGUUUGGAGUUUGUGUCCAUAUCAUUAGAACAGACAAUGUCACAAACUUUGUAAAUAAAAAAUGUAGUAAUUUAUUUAAGUCUUUGGGGAUCAUACAUCACAAAACCUGUAUUCAUACUCUACAAUAGAAUUGAGUUGCUACAAAAAUCAUAGACAUAUAUUGAAGGUGGCUAGAGCAAUUAGAUUGCAAGGUCAUAUUCCUCUCAGAUUAUGGGGACACUGUGUCUUGACUGCUGCCUACAUCAUAAAUAGAUUACUCUCUCCUGUGUUGAAAGGUUUAUCUCCCUAUGAGGUAUUUCACAAAGUCAAGCCCUUUCUGUAAUAUCUCAGAGUCAUUGGUUGUUUGUGUUUUGCAGCAGCCAUUCCUAGAGGUGAUAACUUUCAUCAAAGGGGUGUGCCAGCAGUUCAUAUGGGCUAUAGUCAGUCCACCAAAGUAUACAUAUUAUAUAAUUUGCUAGACAAAUGUUUAUUCAUUAGUAGAGAUGUCAUCUUUAGAGAAUAUGUGUUCCCUUUCUCUAUACUUCUGAAUCCAAUGAUGAAAUAUUUAUACCUCAAGCUUCACUAUCUCUUACUCUAGUCACAGAUGAGAUUCCUCCAUCAGUACCUCAGGUUUUAGCUCCUCAAGUUAAUCCUCACACCAUUCCAUAUGUUCUCCUUCCUAAUAUACAGUCCCAAAGGGGGUAGAAGACCACCAAUUUAGCAAAAAAAAAAAAAACUAAGUCACUGCCUCAAUUCAUUCCGCAACACCUUACUCUAUUGAUGAGUAUGUUUCUUAGACACAUCUCUCUCCUACCUAUCAAUGAUUUACUGCAGCAACAUCAAAUGAGCUCGAACCAACUUUUUAUGAGGCAGCUUGUUUAGAUCCUAGAUAGGUGUUUUUCAUGAAGGAUGAGAUUUCAGCUCUAGAAAAAAAAACACCUGGAGAAUUAUUUUUUUUACCUGCAGAUAGAUCUGUCGUUGGUUGUAAGUGGAUAUUUAAAAUCAAGUAUAAUAAUAAUGGUUCAAUUAAGAUAUUUAAAGCCAGAUUAUGGGUAAAGGUUUUAGUCAAAGAGAAGGUCUUGACUAUCAAGAAACCUUCUCUCUUGUAGUCAAGAUAGUUACAGUGAGGUUUGUCCUUGCACUUGCUGCAGCUGAGAACUGACACGAGCAUCAAAUUAAUGUCUCUAAUGUUUUUCUUCAAGGUGAUCUAUAUGAUGAGGUGUAUAUGGUAUUACCUCUUGAAUUUUAAGCUCCAACAGGAUUUGCUGAGCAGGAGAAAAAUGGGGAGAAACCAGUAUGCAGGCUCAUCAAAUUCCUCUAUGGAUUGAAACAAGCUCAAAGAGAAUGGAAUUUGAAACUCAUUACAGCACUGAUCAAGCUUUGCUUUGUUCAAAAUCACUUGAAGUAUUCUCUAUUUACUAAAAAAGUUGGAUCAGCUCUUAUUAUACUUUGUUUGUGUAGAUGAUAUUUUAAUUACAUGGAAUGAUCUUAAUAGCAUCAACCAUACUAAAGUAGUUCUCCACAAGAUCUUUAAGGUUAAAGAUUUAGGAGAACUUAGAUAUUUCUUGGGCAUUGAGUUUGCCAGAUUAGAGAAGGGCAUUGUUAUGCAUCAAAGGAAGUACUCAUUGAAGAUCAUUUCAGAAACUGGUUUAAGUACAGCUAAACCAGCAUCUACUCCACUGGUUCCUAACAUAAAGCUUCCCACUAAAGAAUAUGAUAAUGUGGCUAACAAUAAUAAUGAUGAUCCACUGUUGACAGAUAUUGGAAAGUACAGGAGGUUGAUUGGUAAACUCUUGUAUCUCACUGUCACCAGACCAGAUAUAUAAUUUGUUGCCCAGACAUUGAGCCAAUUUCUAAAUCAACCUAAGAAAUCUCACUGGAAUGUUGCUUUAAAGGUUGUGAGAUAUGCAAAAGGACAGACUGGUCUUGACAUACUAAUUUCUAGCAGAAUAUCCAAGAAAUUUAUUUUAUUUUGUGAUACUGAUUGGGCAUCAUGCCCAAACACCAAAAAAAAAUUGUAUCUGCUCUUUUGAUUAAACUAGGAGAUUCUUUCAUUUCAUGGAAAUAAAAAAAGCAACGGAUGGUGUCAAGGAGCUUAACUGAGGUAGAAUAUAGGAACAUGUCAAACUAUGUAGCUGAGGUGGUCUGAUAAUAGAACUACUUAAAGAAUUGAGAGUUGA